rnacentral:rRNA from 1 species
GACGAACGCUGGCGGCGUGCCUAAUACAUGCAAGUAGGACGCAGUUGCGAACGGGUGAGUAACGCGUAGGUAACUACCUAUUAGAGGGGGAUAACUAUUGGAAACGAUAGCUAAUACCGCAUACUCGUAGAUGGACCUGCGUUGUCUUAGCUAGUAGGUAGGGUAAUGGCCUACCUAGGCAACGAUACAUAGCCGACCUGGGAGGGUGGGCGGCCAAACGGGGACUGGGGCACGGGCGAGACUCCGACGGGGGGCAGCAGUAGGGAAUCUGGGGCAAGGGGGGGAACGCUGACCGAGCAACGCCGCGUGAGUGAAGAAGGUGUGCGGAUCGUAAAGCUCUGUUGGUAAGGAAGCGGUACCUAAUCAGAAAGCCACGGCUAACUACGUGCCAGCAGCCGCGGUAAUAC